rnacentral:rRNA from 1 species
CCUACGGGAGGCAGCAGUGGGGAAUAUUGCACAAUGGGGGGAACCCUGAUGCAGCGACGCCGCGUGGGUGAAGGCGUAUUUCGGUAUGUAAAGCCCUAUCAGCAGGGAAGAAAAAUGACGGUACCUGACUCAGAAGCACCGGCUAAAUACGUGACAGCAGCCGCGGUAAUACGUAGGGUGCAAGCGUUAUCCGGAGUUACUGGGUGUAAAGGGAGCGCAGGCGGCGCGUUAAGCCUGGUGUGAAAGCCCGCGGCCCAACCGCGGGACUGCAUUGGAAACUGGCGCGCUGGAGUGCCGGAGGAGUAGGCGGAAUGCGUAGUGUAGCGGUGAAAUGCGUAGAGAGUAGGAGGAACACCAGUGGCGAAGGCGGCCUACUGGAGGGUGACUGACGCUGAGGCUCGAAAGCGUGGGGAGCAAACAGGAUUAGAUACCCUUGUAGUC